GAUCCACCCCCAAAGGGAAAUGCCAACAGAAGAGCUUCUAUUUCUUGAAAGGAAAAAUGGAUUCCUUUUAGAGUCUAAUAAGCAGGAAUCUGGGCAGCUCUGGCUCUAUCCUACUAUGCAUUGUGAUGUUGGGGUAAGAUUUAAACUAUCAAAAUCCUAAAAUCAUCAUCCCAGAAAGGCAAACCUGGGGUGAAGUGUGACUGUUUAUCUCUUUAACUUGAAGACAUUUCAAGACACCUUCAUCCAUAUUUUCUUUUCUUUUUAAAUCCAUAUUUUCUUAAUCCCCAUAGUUUUCUUCCUCCUGGAAGCUAGGACUAAAGGAGACACUCUACUGGAAGAGUAACUACCCGGAGAGCGAAGGGACUGAGCAGGAACGAAGCGAAGAACUCGGGCCUGGCCAGGGAUGCUCCCGGUCUCUGCCUCCGGCGGGGAGCGCCCGGCAGAGCCGGACCAAGGCAGGAAGCAGGUUUCCAGCCGGAGCUGAGCCCGCUUCUUCCAAAGCCCUGUGGCUGCGCACCCCUGACGCUGCCUGAGUCCGGUCGGUGGCAGGUGCGGCGGGGGAGUCCCCGAAGGAGAAGGGGGCGGAGGGCAAAGGUCAAAGCCAGGCUUCCGGCGGGCCGGGGAGCCCACACCCAGGGCAGGAGGGAGGGGUUAGGGCGGGCCGGGGCCGAACUGAGCCCCCAAGGGCGGAACCGCGCCGACGGAGAGCAAACCCUCUGUUGUCUAAUCGAGAACCAGAUUAAGAGCCAAGGAGGAAAAAAAGGCAAGAAGGCGUUCUUCAGAUUGGAAGGAUCUAACUCAACACCCCAGUCUCCUGGCCAGUGGCCAAGGACACUGGUUCUUUUCAAGGCACCUUUCUACCUCUGGACCACCUCAGCCCUUGGAUUUAUGCGGUUGCUAGAAAGGUCUAGAAAGUCAAAGAAGCUACUCCCUUUGUAA
rnacentral:lncRNA from 1 species